rnacentral:tRNA from 1 species
AGGAAAAUAGUUUAAUUGGUAAAAUAAUAGUCUCCAAAAUUAUUGUUGUUGGUUCAAGUCCUAAUUUUUCCUG